AUUUGUGACUCGCAGAUACAGUCGGCAUGAUAAACGGUCCAAACUGCCGGGAUGGAUACUGUCACACUUGCACGACGCGCACCUGAAUCUGAGCACCGAUAUGGCUCUCCAUACAGCCCGUGAGUUCCUCCGGAGGAUGGCGCAGCCAUACGACAAGGCUGGGAGCGGCGGGAAGAAGACGCUGUUGACGGAGGAGGACCUGCAGGACAUGGCUCGGGACGCCAUGGAGAUGUGAAACCCAGAGAGUGCUGUAGCCUGUAGUGCACAAUAGUCAAAGUUGCUGAUGUACAAAUUCUUUGGCUGCUCGUAUGAUCACGCUGAAGCAUAAAUUCAGUUUUUAGCUGCAGUUUUCAUGAAUUCAUUGGCUCGAACUUCACCAGAUGUCCUGGAGCACUGGUUCGACACCAUGUUUUCAAAACGAAUGAAUAGCCGAAUGCAGGGAAAAUAAAUACACUUGCAAA